CCUACGGGGGGCUGCAGUGAGGAAUAUUGCGCAAUGGGGGCAACCCUGACGCAGCAACGCCGCGUGAGUGAGGAAGGUUUUCGGACCGUAAAGCUCUGUCGAGCGGGAAGAAAUGCAUGGUGGCUAAUAUCCAUCAUGCUUGACGGUACCGCUAAAGGAAGCACCGGCUAACUCCGUGCCAGCAGCCGCGGUAAUACGGGGGGUGCGAGCGUUGUUCGGAAUUAUUGGGCGGGAAGAACAAGUAGGCGGCGAAAUCCCUGGGCUUAACCCAGGACGUGCAUUUGAAACUAUGCGGCUAGAGUAGGGGAGAGGAAAGUGGAAGUCCGGGUGUAGAGGUGAAAUUCGUAGAUAUCAGGAGGAACACCGGUGGCGAAGGCGACUUUCUGGCCCUAUACUGACGCUGAGACGCGAGAGCGUGGGUAGCAAACAGGAUUAGAUACCCGUGUAGUC
rnacentral:rRNA from 1 species